rnacentral:rRNA from 1 species
UACGGGGGGGGCAAGCGUUGUUCGGAAUUACUGGGCGUAAAGGGCUCGUAGGCGGCCAACUAAGUCGGACGUGAAAUCCCCAGGCUCAACCUGGGAACUGCGUCCGAUACUGGAUGGCUUGAAUCCGGGAGAGGGAUGCAGAAUUCCAGGUGUAGCGGUGAAAUGCGUAGAUAUCUGGAGGAAUACCGGUGGCGAAGGCGGUUCUCUGGGACGGUACUGACGCUGGGACGCGAAAGCGUGGGGAGCGAACAGG